rnacentral:lncRNA from 1 species
AAUCCCACUUUGAAAACUUCCACCACCUUCAGAUCCGCAUCAGGCAUAGGCAAACAGGUUCGUUAAUGUUAAAUAGAAGAAGGUUGAACUUGUUGAGCCUUUUUCUCUUUUGAAUUUUCAUAUAUAUUUUUUCGUAUUUACAUGUCUCCACGAAGGACGAAGCUGACAAUAAUUUAAAUUCCAAUAUCGGAACUCUUGGAACAGUUCAGUAAACGCAAAUGGAAAUAUCAUUUAAUUUUGCGUCCACUGAGUCUUUGACUUCCUUGAUUCAUUCUUUUGGUGGAGAGAUCAAGUUUAGUAUUAAUCUCGGAUAAAGCAGCAUGAGGAGAGGCCCGUAGACGAUCGAAUGAUGAUGAUAAAGAAUUGUCAUCCAAUCCGUGCAAAUCUGAGAACGUUGAAGUUGAAUCAAAGCAGUUUAUGAGUGUGUCAGUGGACUAAGAAUGGCCAGAUCUCAUCAAGCAUAAAGAGCCUGAAUAGAAACUAAUUCCACAAGAUACACAAGUCACAGGUUUGUCACUAUCACUAUCACAAUCUGUAUAGCGCUUAUACAGUAAUCUUUAUAGGUGUAAUAGAGUUCAACAGGACACUUAUUCACAAGAAUGUAAAACAGUCCGAGAGAACCAGGUUGGUAACAGUAGAAUACACAGAGCAAAACAAGGCACGUCUUACCACGGCAAUUGCCAAGUCUUAACACGCCACCUCGCAAGUCUCAAGGCCAUGGAAUGUCCAGUCAACUAUCCAGUCAACUAUACGACGGCCUAAAACCAA